UACGUAGGCGAAAAAUUAAGUCAGUAGUGAAAUCCUGCAGCUUAACUGUAGAACUGUUAUUGAUACUGGUUUUCUUGAAUAUAGUUGAGGUAGGCGGAAUGUGUAAUGUAGCGGUGAAAUGCAUAGAUAUUACACAGAACACCGAUUGCGAAGGCAGCUUACUAAGCUAUGAUUGACGCUGAGGUACGAAAGCGUGGGGAGCGAACAGGAUUAGAUACCCUGGUAGUCC
rnacentral:rRNA from 1 species